rnacentral:tRNA from 2 species
GGGGGUGUAGCUCAGUGGUAGAGCGCGUGCUUAGCAUGCACGAGGCCCUGGGUUCAAUCCCCGCCACCUCCA